CCUGGCGGCGAUAGCGUUGUGGUCCCACCUGACCCCAUGCCGAACUCAGAAGUGAAACGCACCCGCGCCGAUGAUAGUGUGGCAGCUGCCAUGUGAAAGUAGGUCACUGCCAGGC
rnacentral:rRNA from 3 species